CACACACACAGGCAUACAUGCGUACACGUACACAUGCAAGCAUGGGGAGCACAGGAGGGUACUUUUGGUGCUGUGACAUUUUUCUACUACAUGGGAGAUUGGCAGCCCCACAUAAGGCUACUGCCAGGCAAUACAGAAUGGGGGCCAGGAGUUUCACAGGAGUGAGGGGGCAGGGGGUAGGGGAUGUCAAACUAAUUAUUGAUCAAUUUACUAUGUCUCUUUAGUAAGUCAGUCAGUCUCCAGAUACUCUUGUAGUCUUUAAGGAAGACAAAUGUUCACAGUUUAAAUAUCCCUAAAUAUAUAACAGAUGAACAAGCAUGCUUUGGUGUGUAAAUGCUGCAUAGAUUCAGAACCAUCAAAAAGCCCCUCAAAAAUGCUUUUCCAUCUGCUGCUUCUAACUACAUAUCGCACGUCCUGGCAGCGCACUUCACAGUGGUGUGAAAGAUAGGUUCAGAGCCAACCUGGCAAAAUCUAUUUAUCUUUUUUUUUCUUCUCCAAAAUGUGUUUCUUUGUGCAGCUAAACUAGCAAACAUAUAUAGGAACAAGGUGCCAGGGCUAAGAGGAGGCACUUGUCAGGCCUUAAUCGUUUAAGAGAAAACCUGCUUCAUAUUACGCCCUAAAACAUUGACACCAAAUUGCAUCUUCUUAGAAAGUAUGAUUUGGAGGAGCUUUGGAUUUUGUGUUUUCAGUAAAACCCAUUUCCGAGGGUUGCCUCAGUGUCCCUGUAAACUUGAGGGCUCCCUGAACAAGCCCAUAGAUGGAGUAGCCACAAGAGUGUCUGUGGGAAGUGUGUGGUAGCAGUCUCAGGAGAGGAUCCUUUGGUUUUCAUUGAAGUAAUUAUGUGCAACUCAGAAAGCAGAUUCACGAGAGGCAUGUUCUGUUUUUAUUCAAAGAAGCUCUCAAGUAUAAUCCUUCUUAUGCCCUGCUUAGAAGCAUGGCCUUUAUAACUAUUGUGACAAUCCACAUGAACAGACUGGUUGGAGUUAGUGACCUACUCAUAAAGGCUUCUUAUUUGAAAUGGUACAAGUGUUAGUUCCUCUGCAUAAUGAAUAUUCUUUCACAAGGUAAAAAAAUCCCCAGAAAGGUAAUAUUUAUAGCUACCUCUCAGAUUAUGAUCUAUUGUCAAAUUAUAUCAACAUCACAUAGAUGACCCAUUUUUCUUUCUUUAUAUGGUUUACUGAUUCUCCACUCUGGUAGAGGGUAGGAGCAUUAGUAUUGGAGCACUUUAGAGGGUAGGAGAUGGUAUUAUAUGCUCUAGCAGUAAAAAAAAUAAAACAAAAUAAUAAUGAUCUUUACCUCAUAGUGGAAAGUAUAUUUCCCCUCAAAUUAACUAGUCGUUUUGUUCAAAUAGCAAGAACAAUCCUAAAGUUACUUUGAUUUAUGUUGACAUUCUUCAAGAGUUGAGAUUGUACUUUCAAUUUACUUACUUUUCUUAUGAUAAUUUAAUCAUUGUUUACUACUCAGCUGACCAGUGUGACAUUUGGGAUAAUGGUCCUCUGAUGGUGACAUCACGAGACAUAUUUGUGGGAGAACAGAGGUUCCCUUAAUGUCAUCAGCACCAUAGAGUGAUGCACCAUAUUUUCUUGGUAACAUAUUUCAUCUCUGUAGCACAGGGAUAGAAUGGUGAGUUGUCAGCAUGUUCGUCUGGAAUGACUUUUGAUCAUCUACAACCUUUUACUUUUCUUGAACAUUUUGUCCUUUUUAAACAUUUUCUUGGUUUCAGUUUAAGAAAUUUUUAUUCAUGCAUUUAUUCCACAGAUAUUCCUUGAACUCUUCUAUUGUCGUUGGGGAUGUUUUGGUGAAAAUUAAAGGAAACAUGGUCACUUCAGUUGUAGAAUUUAUAGUCUAAUAAAAAAAAGUAAAUGAUAAUCUGAGGAAACAAGUGCGCUGUAUGUGUUUGCAUGUGUGUGUAUAUAUAGAUAUGCAUAUCUUCAUUUAUUUUUAUUCAUCCACUCCUGUAAUUGCUGGGUGUAAUUACAGAUUACAAAGCAUAAUAUAGGAGACAAUCAGGUGCAGUAACAGGGAAUUAUGGGCAGGGAAAUCUCCUCAUCAGGUGAUUAUGAAAUCAAGUCUUUGAAGACUUGACUUUACGCCAAUACCUAGAACAUGAGAAGAGCUAUCCAUGUAAGGGAGAAUGGGCAGCCUAAGCAGAGGAGACUGUGUGAGUGAAAGUCACAGGCAGGAAAGACUUUCCUGUGUUCCUAGAACCAAAGAGAGGCCAAGUUGUCUGGAGCCAAGUAUGAGAGUGGGAGAGUGAUAAGAAAUGAAGCUAGAUUUGGGAACCAGCUCAACUUGUUUGAGAAAUUUAGACUUUAUUCCAAAUGCAAAGAGAAGCCAUUGAAGGGGUUAAGCAAGAUGUGACAGGAUCCAAAUAUUUGUUUUUGUUUUACCAUGCUCACUCUGGUGCUGCUUGGAAAACAGAUUGGAAAGAGACAAGAGUAAAAUCUGGAAGACCAUUAAGAAGGCAGGAGACCAAAUGAGAUAUAAUGGUGUCUUGGACUAGGAGAGAUGAAAGUAUGAAAGGAAAGAAAAAGUUACAUUCAAGAGAGAUUUUGGAAUUGAUAAAAAACAUUAAUACUGAUUAUCUGUUUAUGGAGGAUGAGAAGAAGUGGUGAGGCAGCACUCAUAUUUCUGGCCACCACAUUUCUAGAUUAUAAUUUACUGAGAUGAGAGAGACUAGGGAGGAUCAGGUUCACAACAAAGCCCAGGGUCCGGUUGUGAACUGUUAAGUUUAUGAUCUUUGGGAAAAUCUCAUUACCUCCAUUCCAUCCCAGAGAAAAUAAAAAGGGUAAUAACCAAUGUUGGUUGAGAAGUUACUCUACCAUUAACUAUUUUAUAUCCUGUAUGUAAUAACCUAAUAAUUCAUUAGCUCUCAGACAUCCCUAUGGGGUAGGGGCCACUUGUAUUUUCCUUGUCCUCUGAGGAUAUUGAGGCUCUGAGGGGUUAAAACAAACUUGUACAAGAUCAUGUAGCUAGUGAAAGAGGAGCUGGUAAACCUGUGUAGCCCAGGAACUCAUCAUCCCUACCAACCUGUUACCACCUCUACUAACAAGGAAACCAUGAUCCAAAUUUGAGAAGCAUCAGCAAUAAAUGCUAUGUGAAGUGGAAUAGACAUGAUCCCAUACAGAAAAGAUAAUGGAAGAGACCCCUAAGGGGUCUCUUUUAGAAAUUAUAUUUCUAUUAUUUAACUCUAACUCUUUCCUCUGUGGAGCUUCAAGGGUUUAAGUUCUUUGGGAUUUGGCUGCUUAUAUAUCUUACCUAGUCAUAUUUUUCACAAUGGGGUAAAGGUAUAGACAGAUAUUUAAUAUUAGUUAUCAUAAUUAAGGGUCAUUUCUGAGCUUAAUUUUAACAAUAGUACCAUGUAUCUCAACAACAAUUGUUUGCAGAUAUAUAAGAAAACAUUUUGGUGGAAAAAAAGGAAACUCUUCUAGGAAAGAUAAGGGAUGAUGAGAAUGAGGACUGACAGUGUCCUUGCUCCUGUUGCCUCCCAGUGAACUACAGUGGGUAGCUACAGAAGCCCUUCUCAGGACUUUAGAAAGUAUGCUUAGAAGAGAUUUUUUCAAGCAAAAACACAAAUAAGGGAUAGCCAAGUAUAAAAGUUAUGCAAGGGAAAAAUAAUAUUGUAUUGCUGUAAUGGUGGUGGGUUAACUGCUUUUAAUCCUGUUUUACAAAUUAAAAUACAAAAAAGGAGUUCCCUGGUGGCUCAAUGGGUUAAGGAUCUAGCAUUGUCAUUGCUGUAGCUUGUAUCACCCUGCUGUGGCAUGGCUUUUAUCCCUGGCCCAGGAACUUCUGCAUACUUUGAGCAUGGCCAAAAAAAGACAAAAGUAUUGAAAACAAUUAUGACUAAAUUAUGCUAAUGGAUACAUAAUAUAAAUAGAUUUAAUUUGUAUCAUCAAUAGCAUAUAAGGUAAGGGGAGGAAAGGAAAAAACAAAGAAUUAUUGUUUGCAAGUGAAGUUUAUUUUUUAUCAGCUUAAAAUAGACUGUAAUAAGUUCAUGAUAUUUUAUAAAAACCCCUUGGUAACUACAGAGAAAAUUCCUAUAGAAGCUACACACACAAAAAAAGACAAACGAAUCAAAACAAGAGUGACUGAAUGAUAUAACUAUAUGCUGGAUACUAGAGCUCAUUUUAGAUUCAAGGACACACAUAGCCUGAAAGUGAAAAGAUGAAAAAGAUAACACAUCUGAAUAAUAACCACAAGAAAGCAGGAGUGGCUAUAAUAAUAUCAGAUGAAGUAGAUUUUAGGUCAAAAACUGUCUACAGAGACAAAGAGGGUCAUUACAUAAUGAUACAAGUGUCCAUUCAGCAGGAAGAUACAAUUGUAAAUGUAUGUGUACCCAAUAUCAGAAUACCUAGUACAAUAGUUCCACCUUAUCCUUGGUGUUACUUUUUUUGUGGUUUCAGUUACUUGCAGUUAAUCAUAGUCUGAGAAUAUUAAAUGGUUAAUUCUAGGAAUAAACAAUUUUUAAAUUUCAAAUUGCACUCUAUUCUGAGCAGCGAGGUUAAGUCUUGUGUCAUCCCUCUUGGAUCUGCCAGGGAUGUAAAUCAUCCCUUUGUUCAGCAUCUCCAUGCUGUAUACACUACUUGCCCAUUAGUGUAGGGAAAAAAAUUUGGUACUCUCCAUGGUUUUAGACAUCCCCGGGGAGUACUGAAAUGUAUGUUCCAUGGAUAAAGGGGGGUCAAUUGUAGACAAUCCAAAUAUUGUUAGGUCCGAAAGGAGAAAUUGACAGGAAUACAGUAAUAGUAGGAAACUUUAAUACCUCACUUUCAAUAGUGGGUAGAACAUCUAG
rnacentral:lncRNA from 1 species